UCUCCUCGCUUCACCGCACGCCCGGGCCGCGUUUUGCCGGCGUCACGUUUCCCUCUCGGGCCCUAGUGGGCUCGGAGCGCCAGCGAUCCCGACGGAGGAAGCCCGGAUGGGAGGAGGAAGGAGAAGUGGGUGCCUGAGGCAGCAGCCCAGGGCCGAGAUGGGGACGCGCUGAGUGGACCAGGGCUGGGGGGCCCGGGUCGCCCCCGCAGGGUGUGUGUGUGGACGCCAGGCACCUGCAGAGGCGAGCAGGGCUCUUCGUGGCGCUCUCGGGGCCUGCGCCUGGCAGGGACUGUCGGCUGCUGUCGCCCCUACCCCAGUCAGACUCUGCCCUGGGUCUGUGGUGGAGGCUCAGUCACCAGCUGCACAGCGCGUGUCAGGGCGCAACUCUCAGCGAGGGGAGGCCCCAGCUCCCAGCCAGGGAAAGAGAUGAUUCCAGAAAGGACAGGCUGAGAGAGAGAAGGCGGUUGGGAAGGGAAGGAAGAGGAAAGGGGAGAGGAACGGUGGGGGAAGGGAAGGAGGAGGAGGAGUGGGAGGAGGAAGAGCAGAGGGAAGACGCAUGCCAGCCCUGCCCACCGGGAAGCCCCUGAUACACAGGAACCAGCUCCAGGCCAAGGCCACCUGCCCCGACCACAAGUUGAAUUUGUCACUCAAACUGCAGUGUUUCCCAACAUUCUAAUUAUUUGUGGAGGUGUUCCAUUUGGGGUAAUUCACAUAAAAUCCAGAGUUUUGGCUCUUCUGGGCUACGUGGGCCCUUGCCCCCUCCCAUAGGUUGUGGCUCCCCUGGUCCUCUCUAUCCUCUGGAGCUGGCCCAUCGCUCAGCACUGGCCUUGCAGCACUUACUAAAGGCCUUGAAAAUGCCUGGGUUCACCCCCUGAGUGAAUUAAAGCCAGAGGGGCCUCUGAAGGGCACUGUGAGAGACAGAGGCUCGCCUGGGCAGUGCAGAAGCCAGCCACGUGUCCCUCCUUACAGGGGAUGAAAUGACCUGGGGAGGAAACCCCAGCCCUUCCCCGGAGCUUCCAGAGUAGGCGGCCAGUGCUGUGAGGCUUCACCACCUGCUGUCCCAAGCAAGCUUGAGUUGUGUGCGAGUCCACGCCGUGCUGUCCUGUACUGUAUGCUUCAGCUCCCCCAACCCCUGCUGAGCUUGAUUUUUCCCUAAAUAUCAGUCUCCACGGGACCCCACAUUCGUUCAUGCCUUCUUGUCCCUAGGGUAAUGUGUGUGUUUCCUCGUCCCAAUUUCUAUCCCUUGGCAGUGAGGAGCCCAUCGUGCCAGGGGGCCCUGCCCUGCUUCUCCCUGGGAAGGAAUGGGGGGCCUGGGUGUGACCUCAGAGCCCGGACCAGACUGUCCCAGUCCCAUGUCAGGGACACCCAGAUGCAGAUGCUGUCUGAGACGUGCUGCAGGGCAUGGGUGCUCCUCCCUGCUUGGAGGCUGUUCCUGGAUGGCGACCCACCCACUGAGGACCAGGCCAGGUGCGCCUAGAGCUGGGCACAGCAGCCUGUGGUGUUGCCUGUGGGUGGAGAGGGCCCCAGGUGUGCUUCUCCCGUAGCGGUCCUAAACUUCUGUCCCUGUGCACUGUGUCACCUGGAUCAUCCAGUAAAGUGAAAUUCAGCACUGUG